AGCCCUUUAUCAAGAGUUGCAGGAUAAAAAUAGUCUUUGCAGCCAGACAUCCCUCCAGGCAUGUCUUCUGACCUGAGAGGGGCCAGUGUCCUGUACAGUAGAAGCCGGGGUUUCCGUGCUGCACCCGCAGCACCAGGGCACGCACCGUGGGGAGGCAGCCUUGGGCUGUGCCCGCGACAGGGCCCCUGCAUGCUGAGCAACAGCCUCACAUGAGCAGGCAGCACGGCCUCCUCUCCACGGGAGCCUCCACCGCCGGGGCUGUGAGCUUGAGCAGGGGUGGGUCCCCGCCUGCCCUGAAGCCACAGUCAGGCUGGGGGGUCACCGUGUCACCAGGCAGGCCAGGCUCAGCUGUCUCAGGGCUCUCGGGCCCCUCAGGUGGGGGUCGCUGCAGCUUGGCAGCAGCUCGCUGGCGCUUCAGGUCAGCCAGGGUGUGGUGGGCCUUGUCGUGGACCAGGGUGUGGGGGGUGGUGCUGUCCAGGGGGCUCAGCUGGUAGGAGACACUCCGGUCUAGUCGCUUGGAGUAUAGAUGCCGCACUGGGGAGCCCCCUACUCGGCCAUUGUGCGGCCUGACC
rnacentral:lncRNA from 1 species